UGGGGAAUUUUGGACAAUGGGCGAAAGCCUGAUCCAGCAAUGCCGCGUGUGUGAAGAAGGCCUUCGGGUUGUAAAGCACUUUUGUCCGGAAAGAAAUCCUUGGCUCUAAUACAGUCGGGGGAUGACGGUACCGGAAGGAUAAGCACCGGCUAACUACGUGCCAGCAGCCGCGGUAAUACGUAGGGUGCAAGCGUUAAUCGGAAUUACUGGGCGUAAAGCGUGCGCAGGCGGUUUGCUAAGACCGAUGUGAAAUCCCCGGGCUCAACCUGGGAACUGCAUUGGUGACUGGCAGGCUAGAGUAUGGCAGAGGGGGGUAGAAUUCCACGUGUAGCAGUGAAAUGCGUAGAGAUGUGGAGGAAUACCGAUGGCGAAGGCAGCCCCCUGGGCCAAUACUGACGCUCAUGCACGAAAGCGUGGGGAGCAAACAGGAUUAGAUACCCUGGUAGUCCACGCCCUAAACGAUGUCAACUAGUUGUUGGGGAUUCAUUUCCUUAGUAACGUAGCUAACGCGUGAAGUUGACCGCCUGGGGAGUACGGUCGCAAGAUUAAAACUCAAAGGAAUUGAC
rnacentral:rRNA from 1 species